CAAGUAAGACAGGUGAUCGCAUCUGCAUGCGCCGAAAGGCCGCAGAUGAGGAAAGUCCGGGCUUCACAGGGCAGGAUGCCGGAUAACGUCCGGUGGAGGCGACUCCAAGGAAAGUGCAACAGAAAUGAACCGCCUUCUUCUGGAAGGUAAGGGUGGAAGGGCAGUGUAAGAGACUACCGCCUCUCUGGUAACAGAGAGGGCACAUGUAAACCCCAUCCGAAGCAAGACCGGAAAAAGACAAUGUGGUGGCCCGUCACGUCUUAGGUUGGUUGCUCGAGCCCAUCGGCGACGAUGGGCCUGGAUAGAUGAUCACUCAACGACAUAACCCGGCUUAUCGUUUUGCUUGCAUU
rnacentral:RNase_P_RNA from 1 species